rnacentral:lncRNA from 8 species
UCUUUCUCUUCUAGGAUUCAGUGCGAUGGUGGGCCAGGGGCUGGGUGGGUCAGACAGUACAGUAGAAACUGAAGAUCCACCAGGAGAACCAGGCCAAAUUACAUGCCAUGUCUAAGGGCGAGAUCCUAGAGGAGCAGAAAAGGCUGCUGGGUCAGCUAGAUCCCAGACUUGUUGACUUUGUAAGGGACUCGUAAAGUACUGGGAGCCCCAACCUCUACCUCACAGCCUUCCAACUUCCUGGAUGAAAGAGGCAGGGAACAGCGUCUGCUAGAAACCAUCAUGACAGAGACAGACGCCAAGAAGCCAGAGCAGAAUCCUCUGGACAUAAAGAUUGGAGAAAGUGGAAGAUGAGGAAGAUGAAAGCGGAGGACCUGCCUGUCAAGCCUCAGAAGGAGUAGGUGCACAUGGACAAGCUGGAGCCAGAGAAGUUGGAGUGGAUCAGGGACCUGCCUGUACCCAGACGGAAAGGAACCAAGAUGGCCAUGCAGGCUCACUUUGACUUUGCUGGAACCCUGAUCCCACCCCAGAGGAACUGCCCACCCACCUUGGUUUGCAGCACAUUGGAGAGGAGCCUGAGGAGCUCUUCCUCUGUCGCAGUCAGGUGAUCCAGCAGUGGAGUCCUCAACACUCUGGCCCACAUUCUCACGAAGGCAGAGGGCUGGCCAGUUUGCGGCUACUCUCAGGGGCAGUGUGGUGUCAACUCUUCUGGCCUUCUCUUCAUGCUGCACUUCUCACUGGACGAUAAUGUGGAGGGAGUGAUGUCUGCAGCUGUGCAGGGGCUCAGAGCCCUCCUGGUGUCCUCAGACG